rnacentral:rRNA from 1 species
AUACGGAGGGGGUUAGCGUUGUUCGGAAUUACUGGGCGUAAAGCGCACGUAGGCGGAUUGGAAAGUUGGGGGUGAAAUCCCAGGGCUCAACCCUGGAACUGCCUCCAAAACUAACAGUCUAGAGUUCGAGAGAGGUGAGUGGAAUUCCAAGUGUAGAGGUGAAAUUCGUAGAUAUUUGGAGGAACACCAGUGGCGAAGGCGGCUCACUGGCUCGAUACUGACGCUGAGGUACGAAAGUGUGGGGAGCAAACAGGAUUAGAAACCCCUGUAGUCC